GCAGGAGAUACAGAGUUUUACAGCAUCCUCCCAUCAUCACUCAGGGGACGCUGGCUUUUCUUCAGCCUCAAAGACUGGUGAAACCUAUGGAACAUCCUGAAACAGGAAAUGAGGUCACACACCAGAGCACAUGGGUAACCGGUGAGAAAAUGCUGGCGCCAAGAAGGGGGCGGGUGUCAGAAGUGUGGAGGGAGAGGACCCUAACACACAGGAACCACCAGACGAACCACCUGCUGCUCUGGGACAGCCCAGAGAGGAAGGGGUGCACCUAGGUUUAAAAAAUAACCUGCUUUCUUUAAAGCAUAUGCAACAUAAAUGAUUUUACCAAGCCAA